UUGUUCCUUUCAUACAUUGACGCGAAGUAAUCACGCAAUUUUAUCAAGCAAACCCUUUUAACCGGUCAAAAGAAAAAUACAAGAAUCGAUAUACAAUAAUAAUAAAAAAGUGGAAAAGCUUGAUUUAAACCUAAUAACAUUUACCUGUAGUUAGAAUAUAAAAUUAUGAAAAUUUAAAUAAAUGAAACUCAGUCGAUAAGGAAAAUAAAAAUGCAGUCUUGUGACUUGAAAGAUGUCUCCGCUAAGUCCAGUGGACGUGCGGCGCGCACCUGAGAUCAUCAUGAUUUAAAUCAAGACUGCCGUCAAGACGUCUGAACGACUGAUAACCGUAUCAUUAGAUAACAUAUCCAGUUCUUUGUGCUUUAUCAAUAGAAAAUAUAAUAACAAACGCUGUAUAAUCUAAAACAUGCCAUUGAUUAAAUAAU